UCUCCGUAGGUGAACCUGCGGAGGGAUCAUUACAGAGUUCGUGCCCUCACGGGUAGAUCUCCCACCCUGUGUUAUUAUACCUUUGUUGCUUUGGCGGGCCGCCCUCGGCUACCGGCCCCGGCUGGUACGCGCCCGCCAGAGGACCCCAAACUCUGAAUGUUAGUGUCGUCUGAGUACUAUACAAUAGUUAAGACUUUCAACAACGGAUCUCUUGGUUCUG
rnacentral:misc_RNA from 1 species